rnacentral:rRNA from 1 species
UGGCGUACAGGACGAACGCUGGCGGCGUGCCUAACACAUGCAAGUCGAACGGAGUAUAAAAGGAAGCUUGCGAAUUUAUACUUAGUGGCGGACGGGUGAGUAACGCGUGGAUAACCUGCCUGAUAGCCUGGGAUAACAGCUGGAAACGGCUGCUAAUACCGGAUACGCUUGCGGAGUCGCAUGGCUCUGCAAGGAAAGCAUUUGUGCUAUCAGAUGGAUCCGCGUCCCAUUAGCUAGUUGGUGGUGUAGAGGACCACCAAGGCGACGAUGGGUAGCCGGCCUGAGAGGGCGAACGGCCACACUGGGACUGAGACACGGCCCAGACUCCUACGGGAGGCAGCAGUGGGGAAUCUUCCGCAAUGGGCGAAAGCCUGACGGAGCAACGCCGCGUGAGGGAAGAAGGCCUUCGGGUUGUAAACCUCUGUUUUCAGGGAAGAAGAAAGUGACGGUACCUGAAGAGUAAGCUCCGGCUAACUACGUGCCAGCAGCUGC